GAUUAUCAUAUAGAUUCCAUGAGCUACACUUUGGUCCUAUCAAGACAGGCAGGCAGCUGCAUGAGAGGUGGAAAGAGAGAAAAUGAUUGAGAUGAAAUCACCACCAACAACUAUUGCAGGCAGCAAAGCAGCAUUGGAUUCCAGCCACCAUACUUCUGCAACCAGGUGUGAAUGAGCCUGAUGGGAUGUUAUUAUGGAUCCUACACUGAAAAAGGUCCUUUUGUCAGAAGCAUAACAAGGAACUUCAGUCUGGCUUUCAAAAGUGCUGAACACCCAAAACUCCUACUGAGGUCUCUGUGAAUCACAGCACAGAACAAGUGACUCUUCCCUUCACUCUGCAAGUGCUACAGAUUCAUGUGCUUCUACUAAAAUCUCCACGUGCCCGGCACUACAGAAGAGGAAGUGUGGCUCUCUGAACUGAGAUUUUUGGAUGAAGCUCCAAAAAAUGCUUCUGCUUCCAGCACUCCCCACCCCAUCCCACAGGCUGUCUCCUGGCCUUAUGCUCCUGUGUAUUGAGGGAAGGCAGCUCUUCUGCCCUGCAGGUGGAGAAAUCCCUUGGCCAGGCCUUGGUGGAUCCUUCAGGCCCAGCCUCUGUCCCACGGCUGCUCCCCAGCGCAGCACUCAUUUCUGCUGCAGGAAACUGAUGGUCAGCUCCAGCCCUGCUUCUCAGAAACCUGCUGGGAGUGCGAGUGGAAGACAAAUGGGCUGGACCCAUAGAGCCCACCGUGGGCUUUGCCAAGGGAGGAUAAGGAGCUCUGUGCAUCCCGCACUGCCCAGCAGCCCCCUAGGAUCCCCACUGUCAGUGGUAGGGCAGGGGCUUGUCCUCCCUGCGCAAAUGGUGAUGGCCCAGGAGUGUGCCAUGUGGUAGGGAAGCAUUUAAAGAGCAGCUGGGGUCAAGGGGUGCAGCACCUUGCAUAAUCUUGCUCUUCUGUCAGUAGAGCAUGCGUCCUCGGGGACAUGUUGCUGAGAAGUGAAAUAUCUGUAUAAAGGGCCACAGGGUGAGGAGAUGUCCUGAGGCCUUGCUGUCACUUUACUCUUCCUUCAAGCCCUCUUCCUCACCAUCCUGACAGUGACCCCGAGCUCUGAUGUGCCUGUGGGGAUGGCAGCUUGACUCUCGUUGUGUUUGAAGGACCACAUGACUUCUCUCCCCUCAGCUGAGGAGGGCCAAGCGCCCAACUUCCACACCUCUUGCCCACUCCUGAAGGAGAUGAUCCCCCACCCUUCCUGCUUUUAUCUCCAGGGCAACAGAAAUAAAAAAAAUAAAAGGUUGCUUUCCAUC
rnacentral:lncRNA from 7 species